CACUUUAGGUCGUCCGCCCUUCUACUCAAAGGGAAUUGGAUGAAUGUCGAGUUCAUGGACGAAUGAUGACAUCUGCCCAGAAUUGUCGUUCACUUGUAGAGGAGACGUGGGGAUCGGCUGCGUUAAAUGCGGAGGGAGGAAGACGAGGUUGCGUUGGUUGCCGCAAGCAAGCGUUGCUGAUCAAUGCUCUCCCUCCCAGCGGCGUUCGUCCUGGCGAUGAAGUUUCCGUUCAUCACUGCGUUGCAUGAGAUUGCGAAUAGUUCGAGAGGGGAAGCGUAGAUUUUUGUAACUAACUGGCGGGGAAGGGCUGAUUAACUGAUUAAGUCUGUGAGAUGAUGCCGUAGUUGAGCUUUUGCGAGCGCAGGGGGGUGGUGGUCUGGAUCAGUGACCUUCCACCGACUGCGCAACGGAAUAUGAUGUGUGUUAUGAGGAUCGAAGCUCAUGCGUCGAAGCUGAUUCCUUCUCUCUCAGUUUUUCUUGUCUUCACGUGAUCAUCGUCUGUCAUUGGAUACAGAAGCAAGCUCCAUUGGGAAAGAACCUAGCCUGCGUUACUCUGUUCAAUUGGCAUGCUUACUAUGUGAGGCGAGAGCUGCCGUCAGCUCGAGACAUGGAGUGCAUGUGUUCAUUGGUCACGCUCAACCUUAUGUAAAGAAAGGAAUCAUAAUAUUGGCGUUGGAGUGCAAAAGUGUUUAGAAGAAAGGACACAGACUUAAUGGCGAAAUUGUGUAAGCUUGCACUUCAUCACCUAAUUAGUGCUGAGACUCUCAAGUUCAUGACAACAUGCGUGACCCGCAUUGCUUGCGAAUCUUUUGGAAGAGCCACUGGAGCGUCAUCUUCAUGGAUGGCCGCUCUGCGAGUACAGUACUGUAAACUACUCUCAUUGCCCAAAUUCAAAAUGAGUACCUUGUCGAAUUGGAUAUCAGAAUCCAAAAUAUCAUUUGUUAUUGCAACAAAUUGUGAGCAGGUUGCCCACGGAAUGAUAGCACCGACCUGAAUAUUGACAGUUUCUGGUGCAGUAUAAUGUUUUAAAAAAUAAGUUAUGUGCUGUGCGGGUUGCUCCUAACAUACUUCCAGAAUACGUCAACGUGGAGGUUCAGCUCUUACGAAGGCUCAGCUCUCGGUUCAAAACACUGAACCAUGAUACUGUAAAACAAACUUUUGUAGGCUACAGUAAAAGUUGUGCCUCUAAUUGACGGUUAUGGUUCGGAAUGCUGGAUCGGAUAAUGAUCUGCCAGGACUGAACAUGGAAGUGGAGAAUUCUUGGUAGACUGUGACCUCUGAAUUGCAACAUUGUCCAAGUGCCAGACAUCUCCGCUGCACAUGCAGCAUAAGCUAGAUGUGGAGUUACGCAGUAAAUGUCUUCGUGUUUGAAAAUGUUCUUUUUACAUACGAAGUACAAAAUACUUUCAUCGAACUGCUGUAAAUCGGUAGUUUAAAUUUAAACCUACCAGAUUCAAUUUCCUA